rnacentral:rRNA from 1 species
UACGAAGGGUGCAAACGUUGCUCGGAAUCAUUGGGCGUAAAGCGCACGUAGGCGGCUUCGCAAGUCGGAUGUGAAAUCCCGUGGCUCAACCAUGGACGUGCAUCCGAAACUGCGAGGCUUGAGUAUGGAAGAGGGUCGCGGAAUUCCCGGUAUAGAGGUGAAAUUCGUAGAUAUCGGGAGGAACACCAGUGGCGAAGGCGGCGACCUGGGCCAAUACUGACGCUGAGGUGCGAAAGCGUGGGGAGCAAACAGG